rnacentral:rRNA from 1 species
GAUAAACGCUGGCGGCGCACAUAAGACAUGCAAGUUGAACGGACUUAAUCGAAAUAUUUCUAUUUUGAAGCGGUUAGUGGCGGACUGGUGAGUAACGCGUAAGGAACCUGCCUAUUAGAGGGGAAUAACAGUGAGAAAUCAUUGCUAAUACCGCAUAUGCCAUAGAUAUCACAUGAUAACAGUGGGAAAGGAGCAAUCCGCUAAUAGAUGGCCUUGCGUCUGAUUAGAUAGUUGGUGGGGUAACGGCCUACCAAGUCGACGAUCAGUAGCCGGACUGAGAGGUUGAACGGCCACAUUGGGACUGAGAUACGGGCCAGACUCCUACGGGAGGCAGCAGUCGGGAAUAUUGCGCAAUGGAGGAAACUCUGACGCAGUGACGCCGCGUAUAGGAAGAAGGUUUUCGGAUUGUAAACUAUUGUCGUUAGGGAAGAGAAAGGACAGUACCUAAGGAGGAAGCUCCGGCUAACUACGUG